rnacentral:rRNA from 1 species
GACGAACGCUGGCGGCGUGCUUAACACAUGCAAGUCGAACGGAAAGGCCCUGCUUUUGUGGGGUGCUCGAGUGGCGAACGGGUGAGUAACACGUGAGUAACCUGCCCUUGACUUUGGGAUAACUUCAGGAAACUGGGGCUAUUACCGGAUAGGAGCUCCUGCUGCAUGGUGGGGGUUGGAAAGUUUCGGCGGUUGGGGAUGGACUCGCGGCUUAUCAGCUUGUUGGUGGGGUAGUGGCUUACCAAGGCUUUGACGGGUAGCCGGCCUGAGAGGGUGACCGGCCACAUUGGGACUGAGAUACGGCCCAGACUCCUACGGGAGGCAGAAGUGGGGAAUAUUGCACAAUGGGCGGAAGCCUGAUGCAGCAACGCCGCGUGCGGGAUGACGGCCUUCGGGUUGUAAACCGCUUUCGCCUGUGACGAAGCGUGAGUGACGGUAAUGGGUAAAGAAGCACCGGCUAACUACGUG